GCUCCCGUAGCUCAGCUGGAUAGAGCGGCGGUUUCCUAAACCGCAGGUCGUUGGUUCGAGUCCAAUCGGGAGCG
rnacentral:tRNA from 1 species